CAAAUACUCCCUCCGUCUCAAAAUUCUUGUCUUAGAUUUGUCUAGAUACAGAUGUAUCUAAUACUAAAACGUGACUUGAUACAUCCGUAUUUAGACAAAUUUAAGACAAGAAUUUUGGGACGGAGGGAGUACUUA
rnacentral:pre_miRNA from 1 species